rnacentral:misc_RNA from 1 species
GAUGAAGAACGCAGCGAAAUGCGAUAAGUAAUGUGAAUUGCAGAAUUCAGUGAAUCAUCGAGUCUUUGAACGCACAUUGCGCCCCCUGGUAUUCCGGGGGGCAUGCCUGUCCGAGCGUCAUUGCCGCCCUCAAGCACGGCUUGUGUGUUGGGCCCCCGCCCCCCGGCUUCGUGGGGCGGGCCCGAAAGGCAGCGGCGGCACCGCGUCCGGUCCUCGAGCGUAUGGGGCUUCGUCACCCGCUCUGUAGGCCCGGCCGGCGCCCGCCGGCGACCCCAAUCAAUCUUUCCAGGUUGACCUCGGAUCAGGUAGGGAUACCCGCUGAACUUAAGCAUAUCAAUAAGCGGAGGA